rnacentral:rRNA from 1 species
ACCUUACUACUUGGAUAACCGUGGUAAUUCUAGAGCUAAUACAUGCUAAAAACCCCGACUUCGGGAGGGGUGUAUUUAUUAGAUAAAAAACCAACGCCCUUCGGGGCUCCUUGGUGAUUCAUAAUAACUUAACGGAUCGCAUGGCCUUGCGCCGGCGACGGUUCAUUCAAAUUUCUGCCCUAUCAACUUUCGAUUGUAGGGUAUUGGCCUACAAUGGUUUCAACGGGUAACGGGGAAUUAGGGUUCGAUUCCGGAGAGGGAGCCUGAGAAACGGCUACCACAUCCAAGGAAGGCAGCAGGCGCGCAAAUUACCCAAUCCCGACACGGGGAGGUAGUGACAAUAAAUACUGAUACAGGGCUCUUUUGGGUCUUGUAAUUGGAAUGAGUACAAUUUAAACCCCUUAACGAGGAACAAUUGGAGGGCAAGUCUGGUGCCAGCAGCCGCGGUAAUUCCAGCUCCAAUAGCGUAUAUUAAAGUUGUUGCAGUUAAAAAGCUCGUAGUUGAACCUUGGGCCUGGCUGGCCGGUCCGCCUCACCGCGUGCACUGGUCCGGCCGGGCCUUUCCUUCUGGAGAGCCGCAUGCCCUUCACUGGGUGUGUCGGGGAACCAGGACUUUUACUUUGAAAAAAUUAGAGUGUUCAAAGCAGGCCUUUGCUCGAAUACGUUAGCAUGGAAUAAUAGAAUAGGACGUGCGGUCCUAUUUUGUUGGUUUCUAGGACCGCCGUAAUGAUUAAUAGGGAUAGUCGGGGGCAUCAGUAUUCAAUUGUCAGAGGUGAAAUUCUUGGAUUUAUUGAAGACUAACUACUGCGAAAGCAUUUGCCAAGGAUGUUUUCAUUAAUCAGUGAACGAAAGUUAGGGGAUCGAAGACGAUCAGAUACCGUCGUAGUCUUAACCGUAAACUAUGCCGACUAGGGAU